CCAGUACAGAGUCAAUGUGGAGGCUAUAUACAGGGGCUACCAGUACAGAGUCAAUGUGGAGGCUAUAUACAGGGGGUACCAGUACAGAGUCAAUGUGGAGGUUAUAUACAGGGGGUACCAGUACAGAGUCAAUGUGGAGGCUAUAUACAGGGGGUACCAGUACAGAGUCAAUGUGGAGGUUAUAUACAGGGGGUACCAGUACAGAGUCAAUGUGGAGGCUAUAUACAGGGGGUACCGAGUCAAUGUGGAGGUUAUAUACAGGGGGUACCAGUACAGAGUCAAUGUGGAGGUUAUAUACAGGGGGUACCGGUACAGAGUCAAUGUGGAGGUUAUAUACAGGGGGUACCGGUACAGAGUCAAUGUGGAGGCUAUAUACAGGGGGUACCGGUACAGAGUCAAUGUGGAGGUUAUAUACAGGGGGUACCGGUACAGAGUCAAUGUGGAGGUUAUAUACAGGGGGUACCAGUACAGAGUCAAUGUGGAGGUUAUAUACAGGGGGUACAGAGUCAAUGUGGAGGCUAUAUACAGGGGGUACCAGUACAGAGUCAAUGUGGAGGUUAUAUACAGGGGGUACCGGUACAGAGUCAAUGUGGAGGCUAUAUACAGGGGGUACCAGUACAGA